UACGGGGAUCUCGCUUAUGAUCUAUAGUUAGUUGGGCUAGCUUUCGGUCAAGUGAAGGCCCAAGGGGCUGGUCGAACUUUCCUUGUUAUUUUUCCAGUUUAUUAGGUCUUAGUCACGGCUAUUAAUAGCCUCAAGCCGCAUGUUACAUUCAGUUUUUGAGAGUAUUGAAUAAAAUUUCCAGAAUUUCGUCCAUUCCUUGUGGCAAAUUCCCUUAGCUUGUAAAAGCUAAGUUGAACAUCCUAGAGUUGAUCCUAGGCUGUUCUUGACUUAUCAAUCAAGCACACAUACUUGAUUGUGGCGUUCUCUACCGUUAAAUCUGUUCUUGAGUGGUCCAAGUUCGGGUUCAACUCCGUCAAAUCUUCAUCGUGUUCCUCUAGAUCCGAAGUAACUUCCGCGUCUCGCAUCAGUUCUUUUUGUAUCACUUCGCCCCUCGUUUUUAUUUAUUCUUUUAGUUUCCUUUUUCCUAUUUAUUUUGAAAAGUAUUCGAGUUGUGUGAACUACCAAUACUUAGUUUCCCUUGGACUCCGGGCGGGAAAGGAUGAAAGCGAGUCGGUAUACCAAUUCCUCAUCCGCAAAUCAGCCCUUCCCGUGGGUUAUUUUGUCAACGAAUAAGUAAUUGUAGGAGUGAAAUCUUGCUAUAAUUCGAAAAAGCAAAUGACAAAUCCAAGUCAAUAGUUUUUAUAUUUAUAAGAUUAAACAAAAGGAUUCGCAAACAAAAGUGCUAAUGCUACAACCAGUCCAUAAAUUGUUAAAGCUUCCAUAAAAGCUAGACUGAGCAAUAGAGUACCUCGUAUUUUUCCCUCUGCCUCGGGCUGUCUCGCGAUACCCUCUACGGCUUGACCCGUAGCAGUUCCUUGACCAACUCCGGGUCCAAUAGAAGCAAGCCCUAUAGCUAAUCCAGCAGCAAUAACGGAAGCGACAGAAAUCAGUGGAUUCAUGAUAAAUUCCCUCGUACCAAAAAAAGAAAAAAAGAAAAAGUUAAUGAUACAACCAACCAACGAAUUAUGACUUAAUUAUUCCGUCACUAGGAUUCAUCCUAUCGAAGUUCCUAGUUACUUCGAGUUAAAGUAGUUGAAGAAAUAGAAAUAAUAGUAUUUUUGUUAUUGAAUCGUCUGAACUACUUCAAUAUCUAUUUUUUAGUUUCUAUCCACAAAGUCUUUGUGAAUACAUACAACUUUCCUUCUUCAUUUUUUGGUUCCAAACUGUGAAUUGCAUUCUUCCAUGUUUCUCUUAAUUUCAUUUGUUUAUUCAUUCAAUUCACAGUCAAAAAGAGACAGAAAGGGAAGGGCUUAUAUUCGAAUCCCCAUCUAAAUUCAUAGAAGUAGGACAAAUGAAAUAUAGCCUUAUUUCAUAUAUAUCCAGUCAAUAUCUAAUAUCACAUAUACAUGCCUUUAUUCCAUAAUGUAAACCAAGCACCCAUCUUAGAUUCAAUCGAAUUCGAGAAUCAAUUGUCGAAACAUCUACAGGAGUUUACUUAUUUAUAGCCAUUCAAUUACAUAUACCUAACCUAUCCGAACCAACCCAUUUUUAUGAAUUCUAUUUUUUGUAAACUCUUUUCCCCCCUCCCCCUUCUUUAUCAUUAUUCCGCCGGAUCCAAUUUAAAUGGACAAACAAAUUGGUUAGUCCAAAUCAAAUCGUUGCAUAUAAAUAUCAUUAUUAGAUUGAUCUAAGUUCAUGCAAUUUGUUAUUUAUUAUAUUACUAUUUUCAUUUGGUCAAUCGUUGAAUAAAAUCAACUGAAACGGGAAUCUGUUCGCGAUUUUUUUGAAUUUGAAUAAUGCGAUAGAAAUCUAAUAUUCAUUGAGGGGGGGAGUGGACGAAAGAGGUUUUUAGCAAAAAGAUCUUUUCGAUCUCUUUCCUUUUUUUACAACCAACCCUCUAAUAUCAAAUAUCAUAAUUUUUUCCAUUACCAUAUCGGCCUAGUUGGAUAUUCCCUAAGUAAAUUAUCUUGAGCCGGACCCUGAGGUUUGAAAAAAAAAAAGAUUAUUUCAAUGAUGGCCCUCCAUGGAUUCACCUAUAUAAGCCGCGGCUAAAGUUGCAAAAAUAAGAGCUUGAAUACCACUUGUAAAUAAUCCAAGGAACAUGACGGGUAUAGGAACCACUAAAGGUACUAAAGAAACAAGAACAACAACAACCAAUUCAUCAGCUAAGAUAUUUCCGAAAAGUCGAAAACUAAGCGAUAAAGGUUUUGUGAAAUCUUCUAAGAUAUUAAUGGGUAAAAGGAUUGGGGUUGGUUGAAUAUAUUUCCCGAAAUAACUUAAUCCCAUAUUACAUUAACAUUUCAAAAUAGUAGAAGUAAAAAUUUUUAUUAUCUCUUAGGAAAAUUGGCAUUUACAAGACCUCAGGAUAAAUCAUUGAUAAUUGGUCAGAUCAUUGAUAUAAAUAAUAUCCAAAUACCAAAUUCGAUUUCUAUAUACCCCCGAAAAGUAGAAGAAGUUCUUGAGAAGGUCAAAGAAAGAGCUUCUUCUUCCGACGUGAGGAAUUUUUCCAAAAAUUCCGAGCCUAAUCCUUUCAAAAAAGCACGCACAGUACUUUUGUGUUUCCGAGCCAAAGUUUUAGCACAAGAAAAUCUAAGUAUAUAUUUUAUUCGAUACAAACUCUUUUUUUUGGAAGAUCCGCUAUAAUAAUGAGAAAGGUUUCUGCAUAUAUGCCAAAAUCGGUCAAUAAUAUCAGAAUCUGCCAAAUCAGUCCAAAUCGGCUUACUAAUAGGAUGUCCUAAUAAGUUACAAAAUUUCGCUUUAGCCAAUGAUCCAAUAAGGGGAAUAAGUGGAACAAGGGUAUCAAAUUUUUUAAUAGCAUUAUUGAUUAGAAAUGCAUUUUCUAGCAUUUGACUUCGUACCAUUGAAUGGUUUAGUCGCACACUUGAAAGAUAGCCCAUAAAGUUAAAGGAAUAAUUGGGUAAUUGUAAGGAUCCGAAAAUUUUCUUAUUUUCGUCAUAUAUUACUGGUUUAUUUAAAUAGUUAUUCACUCAUUUUCUCCGAAUUAUUUAAUUCGACUACUUAAAAUCCAUUUAUAUGGAAAAACGCCUCUCUUAUGUUUUUAAAGCGUUUUGUUAGAAAAAUUAUUUUUCAAAAACUCGUUUAGUUCGGAACACGAAUACACAUUUUUCGAGGCUACAUUUGAAUUGAGAGUGUAUUAAUUUUGGAGAAGUAAGAAUGAUCAAUAGUAGAUUAAGAAAAGUUAAUUUGAGAAUUGAGAAAUUAACACACGACUCAUGUGAGGACUCACAAAAUUUACUUAUUUAAAUUUCCUAUUUCUAGUUUAUUUAAUUUUUUACUUAGCCAUUUACUCCGAAUUUUAUUUUCUAAGCUCUUUAGACCUAAUUACAUGGGUCUAUAACUCAAUUACAUUUUUAAAGUGACUCGUUUCAAAAUUUAAUUUUUGGAAGCUUGUUUAGUGAAAAAAGUGUUUGAAAAUUUUAACCGAUUGAGAGUACAAUAAGUUUGAAAAAUUAGAGACUUACACAAUGGUCCUAAAAUAGGUAAUUUUAUGUUUAAGUGCUCAAGUGAUAGUUAUUAGUAUUAUCGUUAUAAGAAAUUCUUGAAAAUUCCAAUUUAUCGCGCACAAAUCGGAAGUACGCGUUUUACGCGCGCGAUUAAUUGAGGGACUUAAGACCAUUAUUUUUAGACCAUUAAGAGUGAAUAAUAAUAGUAUGAAUACAAGUGCAUUAGAGGUUUAAUACACUAGUGAAAUAAACUCGAGAGGAAUCGAGCACAAAACGCGCGCGUACGCGCACUAUUUACGGUUGACUUUUGUGCACCUAAACUCUUAGUCUUUAAGCUUCCUUAGCAAGCUAAAAAUCAGACCAAACACUCCUCUCUUUCUCACAAAGGCAGCCGGCUACAAGGAGGAACAAAAAACCAUCCAAAGUUGUUCAACAUUCUACUCCAAAUUCUUGCACCAAAUCAUUACCAAAUCCUCUCAAAUUUUAACUCUACUUAGCUUAACAUUUGGAGAGCCAUUUAGCUAUAAAAAAGAAGAGCUUUCCACGGUUUUUCCGAGCUGAGAAAAGGGCCAAAAUCCUGCUAGGUCAUCAACCAAAGUAGGUAAUGAUCCACUCUCAAAUUCUUGUCCUAUGGAAGUUAAUUUACACUUAUGAGCUUGAAUAUUCAUGUGGGUGGCUUGAUAUUGUUGGAAAAAUUGGAAAGUGGGCUCUAUGAACUCCCACUCUUGGGUUGUUGCUGAUUUUGUGGUUGAUGAUAUUUAUAAUGUUGGUUUAGUGUUUGAAAUGGUGGAUUAAUGGUGUAUAAUUAGUAGAAACUUCAAGGAACUCAUGGGAUAGAAAUUUCUGAUUUUGCCCCUGCCUUGUUCGGUUAUUUUAAGGCCAAUUUUUGAUGAUCUAAUGGCUUGAAUAUGAUGGUUAUAUGUUGUAUUAGUUGUGUAAAAAUUUUCAUUGGAAAAUAUUGAGGUUUGGUUGGGCAAAUGAAUUUCUUUGUGAAACUAGUCAAGCUGGAAAACUGUUUCCGUGUAGCUCUGUCCAGCGAUAGUGUUUUGGCCGUAACUCUGUCCUCCGACGUCAAAAUCGAGUGCCGUCAGUGGAAUUUCAAACUAGAUAUCCACACCUUUCCAACGGUAUAAAAUGGACGUUUUGGUUCCAAGUGUGUGAGCCAAACCAAUCGUUUUAAGAAGGCUGCCCUGUUUCUCUCUUCUGCUGGAACGAUUUGAUGAUGCUGCAACUUUAGGCUUAAUUUCGAGCCAGUUGCAUGCUGAAUCUUAAAAAGAUUUCUUCUGUGAAAUUAUAGCCCUAUGAAACACUAUCAACCAUGCUCAAUUCCGAGUUAAAUUGAGUGAGUCAUGAUCAAAAUACGGUGACCGCCUUGUUCUUGAAAACCCUUGGAUUUGGACAGAUUUGAUGUGAGACUUGUUGUGGUCUUACUAAAUGAAUUUCUUGGUGCUAAACACCUACCAAAUGUACCAUGUAUGUUCCUUCGACUUUUCUUGCACAAAUGAACCAUGUUUGGAGGUUUUCCUUAGCCGAAUGUUUGGAAACGGAGAGAAUGGAGCUAAAGGCAGUUUUGCCUUAGUAAUUUCAAAACUUUGGUUGAUUGGUUAACCACCUACCCGAAAGUAUUUUUCCACGAAAUUUGAUAGAGAGAUACCCUUCAUAUAGGAGUACUAUACUGAAAAAUUUGGCACCAAUUCAAGUCCCUUUCGACACUUAACUAAAGGUCCAAAUUCGGAAACCCAAAUCUGGAAAUUGUUCAACAGUCUUGAAUUUUCCCCAAUUUUGAGCUACCAUAUCUUGGUGCUCGAAACUCCGAUUCUUGAUCUGCUUGUUCUGUCCUAAACCUUACUUGCACCUCUAAUUGAGUUAUAAAUUUCAAGGGCUGGUUUGCAACGAGUGAAUUCUGCCAAAUUUCCAAAUUUAGCGAAAAACCAACCCCAGCUCAAUCCUGAACAUUCUGGAACAGUGAUUUCAAGCUCAUUUUUGAGUACUUUUCACUUAGAUUCGUGGAAAAGUGUCUUCUAAAAACUUUUAGUACUUUCCAAGAGGUUUUCAACUGUAUAAAGUUUUCCAAUUUUAGACUUGUAUCGAGUGAGAUACGAUUUUUCAAAGAUCCAUAUCAAAACUGAAAUUUUCCAACUUUCAAGGAAAUAGAAUUUUCCAAGAACUCUUUAUUCUUUCGAUAUUAUGCAAACGUUUUAACCUCAAUUUCCAAGAUAAAAACCCAAAUGCUCCUUUACUUUAUGAAACGCCACUCGAACCUCGAUUUACAAGUAAUUAAGGUUCAUUUUCACGAAAUUCUCUAGAUUAUAAUAGUGCACGAAUUAUUUCUCGAUAAUUGGGUUGUGUGAAUAAUAAUUCACUAUUAUUUGCUCAGGCGCACACGAGGACCUUCAAGAGGAUCCCACGGUGGACGCUUGAACUUUCCUUGACCCUACUUGCACUUAAUACUUGGUGAGUGUCAAGUGCAUGAGUUUGUUGCUAAAUGGUUAAUCGGUUCUUAUCCGUUAUGUGAAUUUGAAAAUUUGAGACGAGUGAGUACUUUAUCGCACUCGCUCUCUUUCGAAUGAACUUAUAUUUGAAUUUUGCUAUGUGAAUUCAUAUUCGACUUGUACAUAGUAAUGUGGAUGUGAUUCGUAUUUGUGAUUCAUAUAUGUGAUCCGUAUUUGUGAUUCCUAUUUGAAAUUGUCGAUUUGAACGUUGCUCUUCGACUUAUAUCCGUAUUCAUAUUUGCAUUCGUAUUCGUAUUCAUAUUCGGGGGACGCCCAAACUCAUUGGCUAACUUUGCGAAUCGAGCCAGCAUGGGCUUGGUCGACAAGCUUAGCAAACCAUGAGAUAUUCGUAGAACAUGAUCAAUUGGAGAGAUCUUGCUCGACAUUACUCGUGCAGUAUUGCCAUGAUAUACUCGAGUAUUAUCAAAAAAAAAAAAAAAUUGAUGAGCGGGCCCGGUAAGGGGGUGUAACGGUGACGGGAUUCGAAAAAAGUGGUGUAUCUACGGAUUCGAUACUUGUGUGGUUGACGGAGUGUCAACGUGAGAUGUGAUCAAGACUUUGACUCGACUACGUGGAAUUUAGCUCCUGAGAGCUACAGUAUCCUUGAAUUGUUUCUGUUUAUUUUUCCUAUUCGAAAUGUGAAUUAUUCGAACUUUAUAGCUUUACUUACUAUGUAAAUUGUGGCUACUUGGAUUAUGUGUUUGCAUGUGUGUUUCUUGUCCUCACUGAGUAUUGGCUCAUCCCAUUAGUUUGUUUUCCUUAACAGGAAUGGAGGAAGUGAACUUCGGAGGAACCCCUUUUGAUGUAUUUUGGUAUUAGGGUUUCAAAUGUUUUGGCUGGACUUGUGAUUGUUGUAUAGUUUGGGGAACUGAUGUAUCUCUUGGGAACUUGGUAUAAGGAUUGGCUAACUGAUGUAUUUUGAACUCGUGGUGUGAGCCUUGGAUGGUUGAUUAUGGAAGCGACUUUUUUUUUUUUGGCUCGUAUUAAUUAUUAUGUAUCGAUAAGCUUGAAACGAUUUGUCUUGAGUCCUGGCGAGAGUUGGGCAGGCGUCCCGCGGAUACCCUUGGGUUCGCCCUUGGGAGAAGUGGGGGCGUCACAGUUGGUAUCAGAGCCUAGGAUUCAGAUCUUUGUAAUGUAUCCUAGACUUCGUGUGGUAUCUGCGCGGGGUGAGCUUGGGCCAAAUGGUGUCAUGGUCCUUAUCAUAUGAAUGAGUAAAGGUUUAAGUACUCUUUUAGAGCGUAAGCUGUGAAUCAUGAAUGUAAUAGGUAUAAAUCUUUUAUUAUAAUACUUGGGGAUGACCAGAUAUGUAUGUUGGGCAGGAAUCUCAAAUAUGGUGAUUUACUCUUGGGACUGGCCAGUUCAAGAUGUGAAUUAUCUUAUUUCGAAUUCUUGUUCCCGAAUACUUAAGAGUUGAGGGAAAUGUUAAGGACUUGAGAUCUCCAUUUGCAAGGAAAAGACCGAAUCGAUAUUUUACGUAAAUAGUUAUAGGAAACCAAUAGUUGUUUGGCUAAGAUGGUACAAUAAUUAAGAGAGAGACGUGGAGAAAGAAUGAUGGAUGGUCAUAUGUAAUUUAAUCGGAUUCUAGUGCUUAAUAUGAGUCGGAAAUGAAUGAGAAGAUCAGACCUACCAGUGUUAUAAAUGAUUGACUUAGUUGGGGUGAUGCUAGUGCUAAAGCCAUUGCAUUUUUGUUUAACUUUGUGGCCUACUUUUGAGGCGCUUGACUUUACUUUAGUUGUGCUUGACUAAAAGUCCUUUUGUGACACUUGUGUGCUAUAUUUUAUAAUACACCCCCCCAACUUGCUAAUUGUAUAAAUGUUAAAGUGUAAAUAUAUGUUAAUUAUUGUUAUCUCUGAUGUUUUCAAGAUCGGCUCUUAUUUUAAGAAAUUCCAUGCGUGAUCGCUUUUAUUUCUUGCAUUAGGCACCCUUAAGAUAAUGGAAGGACUAAGAAGCAGUCGAGGCCGUGGGCGAGGGACUAGACAGGCCCAACCUCAAGGGGAUGAAUAAGGAUCAGCAACUGGACCGACCCAAGAACAAACGAAUAUAGAGGUUAACCAAAUGGCUACUGCCAUCAAUAGGAUGACUGAUAUCCUAGAAUGCUUAGCUGAAAUACAAGGUCCAGGACCGCUUAACCAACCUGGGGGACAGGAUGGAGGAGGGGAUAGGGCUUUGGAAAGGUUCCUGAAAUUUAACCCGCCUAAUUUCACUGGAGAGCCCGACCCCGAGGCAGCUGAAAACUGGUUAGAGAGUUUGACCAAUAUAUUCGCCGCCUUAGACUAUACUGAGGAUAGGCGAGUGAAUUUUGCUGCAUUCCAAUUUGAGGGAGUGGCACGCACUUGGUGGGACCUGAUAAGGGGAAAGUGGGAGAAAGUUCAAACCCCUUGGACUUGGAAAAAUUUCAUGAGGGAAUUUAAUGAGAAAUUUCUCCCACCCUUAAUCCAAGAGAAAAGGGAGGAUGAAUUGAUCAAGUUGAAGCAAGGAACCCUUAGUGUAACGGAGUAUGAGGGAAAGUUCACUAAGCUUUCUAAAUACACUCCUGAAUUGGUGAUCAAUGAACGGAGGAGGAUUAGACGGUUCGUGCAGGGACUUAAUGUAGAAAUCCAGGAGGGUUUGGCCGCAACCCAAAUCUCUACGUUCACUGAAGUCUUAGAAAAAGUACAGAGAGUCGAGAGUGCAAGGCUACAAGUUAGAGAUUUUCAUGCUAAGAAAAGGGGCACUUCUAGUAACCCUUCGGGACAAGCAGAUAAGAAUGCCCCACCUUUUAAAAAGGGAAAAGGAACGGGUGGAGUAGAGAUAUCUAACACACCAAAGGGGACUCAAUCAAGAGGAGAUCGCAAUGGACGAGGUCAAUCGAGAGGGACACCUCCAAGUGGUCAAUCUGUGGCUCCCCAAAUUGUUUGUGGUUAUUGUGGCAAGCUCAACCAUACAGAGAGUGAUUGUUUUAGAAAACAAGGGAGGUGCUUGUAUUGUGGUAGUACCGAGCACCAGAUAUCGAAAUGCCCAACCGUACCAAAAUAAGGAGGUAGUACCCAAAGGCCUGAAAAGUCAGCCGCUAGGCAGUCUAGUACUGGAGGAAGUCGAUCUAAAGUACCAGUUAGGGUUUAUGCAUUAGGCUAUCAGCAGGUUUCCAAUUCUGCUACGGUCGUUGAAGGUAUGAUUCUUGCUUUCCAUUGUCUAUCUGAAGUUCUAAGUGACCCUAGUACAAUUCACACUUUUACAAAAUCCUAGAUUCAUAAGAAAGAAUCAAAAAAGAAAUUGUGAGAUAUGGGUUAGCGAUUGUAAGAUUUCUGAUUGAUCCGAUAGGCACGGCUAUUAAGGGGUAUGAGGUUAUCCUAAGCGUGAAUUUCGAGAACGAAAUUCUUUUAAGGAGGGGAGGUUGUGAGGAUCCGAAAAUUUUCUUAUUUUCGUCAUAUAUUACUGGUUUAUUUAAAUAGUUAUUCACUCAUUUUCUCUGAAUUAUUUAAUUCGACUACUUAAAAUCCAUUUAUAUGGAAAAACGCCUCUCUUAUGUUUUUAAAGCGUUUUGUUAGAAAAAUUAUUUUUCGAAAACUCGUUUAGUUCGGAACACGAAUACACAUUUUUCGAGGCUACAUUUGAAUUGAGAGUGUAUUAAUUUUGGAGAAGUAAGAAUGAUCAAUAGUAGAUUAAGAAAAGUUAAUUUGAGAAUUGAGGAAUUAACACUCGACUCAUGUGAGGACUCGCAAAAUUUACUUAUUUAAAUUUCCUAUUUCUAGUUUAUUUAAUUUUUUACUUAGCCAUUUACUCCGAAUAUUAUUUUCUAAGCUCUUUAGACCUAAUUACAUGGGUCUAUAACUCAAUUACAUUUUUAAAGUGACUCGUUUCAAAAUUUAAUUUUUGGAAGCUUGUUUAGUGAAAAAAGUGUUUGAAAAUUUUAACCGAUUGAGAGUACAAUAAGUUUGAAAAAUUAGAGACUUACACAAUGGUUCUAAAAUAGGUAAUUUUAUGUUUAAGUGCUCAAGUGAUAGUUAUUAGUAUUAUCGUUAUAAGAAAUUCUUGAAAAUUCCAAUUUAUCGCGCACAAAUCGGAAGUACGCGUUUUACGCGCGCGAUUAAUUGAGGGACUUAAGACCAUUAUUUUUAGACCAUUAAGAGUGAAUAAUAAUAGUAUGAAUACAAGUGCAUUAGAGGUUUAAUACACUAGUGAAAUAAACUCGAGAGGAAUCGAGCACAAAACGCGCGCGUACGCGCACUAUUUACGGUUGACUUUUGUGCACCUAAACUCUUAGUCUUUAAGCUUCCUUAGCAAGCUAAAAAUCAGACCAAACACUCCUCUCUUUCUCACAAAGGCAGCCGGCUACAAGGAGGAACAAAAAACCAUCCAAAGUUGUUCAACAUUCUACUCCAAAUUCUUGCACCAAAUCAUUACCAAAUCCUCUCAAAUUUUAACUCUACUUAGCUUAACAUUUGGAGAGCCAUUUAGCUAUAAAAAAGAAGAGCUUUCCACGGUUUUUCCGAGCUGAGAAAAGGGCCAAAAUCCUGCUAGGUCAUCAACCAAAGUAGGUAAUGAUCCACUCUCAAAUUCUUGUCCUAUGGAAGUUAAUUUACACUUAUGAGCUUGAAUAUUCAUGUGGGUGGCUUGAUAUUGUUGGAAAAAUUGGAAAGUGGGCUCUAUGAACUCCCACUCUUGGGUUGUUGCUGAUUUUGUGGUUGAUGAUAUUUAUAAUGUUGGUUUAGUGUUUGAAAUGGUGGAUUAAUGGUGUAUAAUUAGUAGAAACUUCAAGGAACUCAUGGGAUAGAAAUUUCCGAUUUUGCCCCUGCCUUGUUCGGUUAUUUUAAGGCCAAUUUUUGAUGAUCUAAUGGCUUGAAUAUGAUGUUUAUAUGUUGUAUUAGUUGUGUAAAAAUUUUCAUUGGAAAAUAUUGAGGUUUGGUUGGGCAAAUGAAUUUCUUUGUUAAACUAGUCAAGCUGGAAAACUGUUUCCGUGUAGCUCUGUCCAGCGAUAGUGUUUUGGCCGUAACUCUGUCCUCCGACGUCAAAAUGGAGUGCCGUCAGUGGCAUUUGAAACUAGACAUCCACACCUUUCAAACGGUAUAAAAUGGACAUUUUGGUUCCAAGUGUGUGAGCCAACCCAAUCGUUUUAAGAAGGCUUCCCUGUUUCUCUGUUCUGCUGGAACGAUUUGAUGAUGCUGCAACUUUAGGCUUAAUUUCGAGCCAGUUGCAUGCUGAAUCUUAAAAAGAUUUCUUCUGUGAAAUUAUAGCCCUAUGAAUUUAUUUUCCAACACUAUCAACCGUGCUCAAUUCCGAGUUAAAUUGAGUGAGUCAUGAUCAAAAUACGGUGACCGCCUUGUUCUUGAAAACCCUUGGAUUUGGACAGAUUUGAUGUGAGACUUGUUGUGGUCUUACUAAAUGAAUUUCUUGGUGCUAAACACCUACCAAAUGUACCAUGUAUGUUUCUUAGACUUUUCUUGCACAAAUGAACCAUGUUUGGAGGUUUUCCUUAGCCGAAUGUUUGGAAACGGAGAGAAUGGAGCUAAAGGCAGUUUUGCCUUAGUAAUUUCAAAACUUUGGUUGAUUGGUUAACCACCUUCCCGAAGGUAUUUUUCCACGAAAUUUGAUAGAGAGAUACCCUUCAUAUAGGAGUACUAUACUGCAAAAUUUGGCACCAAUCCAAGUCCGUUUCGACACUUAACUAAAGGUCCAAAGUCGGAAACCCAAAUCUGGAAAUUGUUCAACAGUCUUGAAUUUUCCCCAACUUUGAGCUACCAUAUCUUGGUGCUCGAAACUCCGAUUCUCGAUCCGCUUGUUCUGUCCUAAACCUUACUUGCACCUCUAAUUGAGUUAUAAAUUUCAAGGGCUGGUUUGCAACGAGUGAAUUCUACCGAAUUUCCAAAGUUAGCGAAAAACCAACCCCAGCUCAAUCAUGAACAUUCUGGAACAGUGAUUUCAAACUCAUUUUUGAGUACAUUUCACUUAGAUUCGUGGGAAAGUGUCUUCUAAAAACUUUUAGUACUUUCCAAGAGGUUUUCAACGGUAUAAAGUUUUCCAAUUUUAGACUUGUAUCGAGUGAGAUACGAUUUUUCAAAGAUACAUAUCAAAACUGAAAUUUUCCAACUUUCAAGGAAAUAGAAUUUUCCAAGAACUCUUUAUUCUUUUGACAUUAUGCAAACGUUUUAACCUCAAUUUCCAAGAUAAAAACCCAAAUGCUCCUGUACUUUAUGAAACGCCACUUGAACCUCGAUUUACAAGUAAUUAAGGUUCCUUUUCACGAAAUUCUCUAGAUUAUAAUAGUGCACGAAUUAUUUCUCGAUAAUUGGGUUGUGUGAAUAAUAAUUCACUAUUAUUUGCUAAAGCGCACACGAGGACCUUCAAGAGGAUCCCACGGUGGACGCUUGAACUUUCCUUGACCCUACUUGCACUUAAUAUUUGGUGAGUGUCAAGUGCAUGAGUUUGUUGCUAAAUGGUUAAUCGGUUCUUAUCCGUUAUGUGAAUUUGAAAAUUUGAGACGAGUGAGUACUUUAUCGCACUCGCUCUCUUUCGAAUGAACUUAUAUUUGAAUUUUGCUAUGUGAAUUCAUAUUCGACUUGUACAUAGUAAUGUGGAUGUGAUUCGUAUUUGUGAUUCAUAUAUGUGAUCCGUAUUUGUGAUUCCUAUUUGGAAUUGUCGAUUUGAACGUUGCUCAUCGACUUAUAUCCGUAUUCGUAUUUGCAUUCGUAUUCGUAUUCGUAUUCGGGGGACGCCCAAACUCAUUGGCUAACUUUGCGAAUCGAGCCAGCAUGGGCUUGGUCGACAAGCUUAGCAAACCAUGAGAUAUUCGUAGAGCAUGAUCUAUUGGAGAGAUCUUGCUCGACAUUACUCGUGCAGUAUUGCCAUGAUAUACUCGAGUAUUAUCAAAAAAAAAAUAAAAAUUGAUGAGCGGGCCCGGUAAGGGGGUGUAACGGUGACGGGAUUCGAAAAAAAAUGGUGUAUCUAUGGAUUCGAUACUUAUGUGGUUGACGGAGUGUCAACGUGAGAUGUGAUCAAGACUUUGACUCGACUACGUGGAAUUUAGCUCCUGAGAGCUACAGUAUCCUUGAAUUGUUUCUGUUUAUUUUUCCUAUUCGAAAUGUGAAUUAUUCGAACUUUAUAGCUUUACUUACUAUGUAAAUUGUGGCUACUUGGAUUAUGUGUUUGCAUGUGUGUUUCUUGUCCUCACUGAGUAUUGGCUCAUCCCAUUAGUUUGUUUUCCUUAACAGGAAUGGAGGAAGUGAACUUCGGAGGAACCCCUUUUGAUGUAUUUUGGUAUUAGGGUUUCAAAUGUUUUGGCUGGACUUGUGAUUGUUGUAUAGUUUGGGGAACUGAUGUAUCUCUUGGGAACUUGAUAUAAGGAUUGGCUAACUGAUGUAUUUUGAACUCGUGGUGUGAGCCUUGGAUGGUUGAUUAUGGAAGCGACUUUUUUUUCUCGACUCGUAUUAAUUGUUAUGUAUCGAUAAGCUUGAAACGAUUUGUCUUGAGUCCUGGCGAGAGUUGGGCAGGCGUCCCGCGGAUACCCUUGGGUUCGCCCUUGGGAGAAGUGGGGGCGUCACAGUAAUUGGUUUAUAUAGACCCUUCCCGGGUGAAACCAAAUACCAAAAUGACAUUGCCAAAAAUUAACAAGGUAAGAUUUCCAUUUAUUCAUCAAAAGAGGCGUCCCAUUUGAAACCAGAAUGGAUUUUCCUUGAUACCUAACAUAAUGUAUGAAAGGAUCUUUGAACAACCAUAGAUUGGCUUGAAAAUCCCUAGCAAAGACUUCUACAAGACGUUCUUUUUUUUUCAUAGAAAUAUAUCCGUUCAAGAAAGACUCCAAAAGAUGUUGAUCGCAAACGAGAAGAUUGCUUACGGAGAAAGAAGAAAAUGGAUUCGUAUUCACAUACAUGAGAAUUAUAUAACAAGAAGAAUAAUUUUGGAUUUCUUUUUGGUGAAAAAUCAAAACUAGGUUUCUUUCUAUCAAUAAGAGUAUUCCAAUUCCAAUAUUCGUGGAAAAAGAAUCGUAAUAAAUGCAAGGAGGAGGCGUCUUUUACCCAAUAACGAAGGUUUUGAACCAAGAUUUCCAGAUGUACGGGAUGGGGUAUUAGUAUAUCUAACACAGAAUUUAAAUGUGAAAAAUUGUUCUCUAAGAAAGGAAAUGGUGAAUGAAUUGAUCGUAAAUUAUGAUAUUUUAAUAUCCCUUUCCCCCCUUGAGAAGAUAUUAAUCGUAUAUAAAAUGGAAUUUUCACAAUAAAUGCAAGUCCUUCUGAUAUUGUUUUAGAAUAUAAAUUCUUGUUGUGACCAAAAAAUAGAUUUUGAUUAGAAUUAUUAGCAAAAAUAAUAAAAUGAUUUUGUUGAUAAAUUCGAGUAAUUAAACGUUUCACAAUUAGGAAACUGGAUUUAUUAUCAUAAACUAGAUUUUCUAACAAAAUCGAUCGGUUUAAACUAUGAUCAUGAGCAAGUGCAUAAAUAUACUCCUGAAAGAUAAGUGGAUAUAGAAAGCCGUGUUGUUGAGAUCUAUCAAGCUGUAAAUAUCCUUGAAUUUCCUCCAUUUGAUUUAAAUUUGAACCAAAGGUAGAAGAUUUGAACCAAAUGAUACAUAGUGCGAUACAGUCAAAACAAAGUAUUUUAGUAAUAAAAGAUACCUCGGGGCGAGUAUAAACUUAUAAACAGAUUCUCUAUCCUCUCUUUUUUACAUUUUUAGUCAUUUUUAGUCUAUGUUAUAGGACAACAAGAUGGUUAGAAAUCUUUUAUUUUUUCAACCCAAUCGCUCUUUUGAUUUCGGAAAAAUUUUCUUUAUCAAUAUACUGCUUCUUCUACACACACAUCUCCGUUUCAUAAUGGAGAGUUAGAAUAGUUAGGAUUCGUUGAAAAAUUGAGAAUUCACUCAUAGGAGUGAAAGCUUUCCUGCACCGGGCACUAAUAUAUUUUUAACGUCUAAUUAGAUCAGGAAAUUAUUCCAAAUUCAGAACAGAAGCUCGUUUCUUUAUCUUUCCCUAUAAUUAAUUGAAGCCGCGAGGCCCUAUCCAUUUAUUCAUUCAACCCAACUUUAUUUUCUUCCAUUCCAAGAAUUCGAACCGGGUUUUCUUUUCUACUGAUCCGGUAAAAAUGAAACAUUCUCAGAACUC
rnacentral:lncRNA from 1 species